AGGUUCAUUCAAACUUUACUCUGCUGCAUGGACUGUAUCAGCUUGUAUUCAGGCAGGUCAAGUUGGGCGAUACAAGUGUGUGCUGGAAGGAAGCUGUCAUCUGCUGGCUUUUGGAUUAUCAACCUGGAAGCCUGGAAGUGAUAGAAAGAAGGAAGAGGAGAAGAUAGAUGAUAAUAAGGAGGGAAGAAAGAGAAAGAGAGAGAGAGAAGACAACAAAGAAGGAAGAGGACAUGAGAGAAGAAUGAGGAUAAUAGAAGAGGAAGAAAAAAAGAAGAAAUGAGAGAAAGAUAGAAAAGAUAAAUAAAAGAAAAAUAAAUCCUCCCCCCUGCCCCCCUUUCUCUCUCUCUCUCUCUCUCUCUCUCUCUCUCUCUCUCUCUCUCUCUCUCUCUCUCUCUCUCUCUCUCUCUCCCACAAUCCACAGACCCACAGUAUGUCUCCCACAGUAUGUUGACAAACCCAGUCACUCCCCACAGCCUCUCACAAAUAUACCCCUCUCUCUCUCUCUCUCUCUCUCUCUCUCUCUCUCUCUCUCUCUCUCUCUCUCUCUCUCUCUCUCUCUCUCUCUC